CAGGCAGGAAUGAGGGAACAGGAUGAGGGACAGGGAGCAGGCGGGGAGCAGACAGGGAUGAGGGAGCAGGAGCAGGCAGGUAUGAGGGGACAGGGCUGGGCAGGCAGGGUGGCUGCUCCUCCUCACGGAUCCUUUCUCUUGGAUGAGCCUGCCCUGGAGGCCCCAGCAGGAGAGGGGAUGCUCCUGCAGUGUGGGAACCACGGAUGCUCCCACUUGAGCUGGCUUAGGGCUUUGCAGUCCAGUCUGGGGCAUCAAAGCAGUGGCUGUGCUUUGGUACUGGGAUAGGAGCUGGAAACCAGUUUGUGACAGAGCUGAGCCAUGGGCAUUCAGGAGGGGACCAAGGAUACAGAAAGGAGCGUGGUGGAGCCAGGGAAGCCCAGCUCCCAGGAACCACUGCAAUGCUUCCAUCUCUGAGCCUGCCUCUUUUUCCAUAUGGUUUCCACACUGGGUUGUGUUUGAGCAGCGCCAGAGAGCCCAGUUCAUUCCUGGUGCUGUCCCAGAAGAACAGCCAGCCUGGCAGAUGUGGCUGUGAUAAACUCUGAGCUGACUAAUUUGGCAAGCCAGUCAAAUCUGCCAAUGUCCUUGGCAACACAGGAGCACCUUUCCAACAAGAAUCCAUUCUGGAUCCAUCCCCAGCCUCAGCAGAGGUCAUUUCAGGCUUGGCUGAGCUUCUUUCCUCCUGAGGGGAUGUUUGCCAGCAUCUCGGAAAUGGCACUGGUGGGAUCUGCAGCCCCAGCACUGCACUGUCAGCCGAGGACCUGCAGCUUGGAGCAGCAAAUCCCUCCUGCAGCAGGAUAAGGAUGGAUGAUGUGGGAGCAUGUGGAAAUCUGGCAAUGGAUUCAUUGAGCCUAACACAGCUUUCCAAAGGUCUGACCCUUUGUCUCCCUGGAUCCCUGGGAGUGUGUGGACAUCUCUGAUGCUGAGAUCAAAGAGCCUGUGCUCAUCCAGAGGACUGGAAGCACGUGGUGGAAGGGAUGCAGGCACAAAGCACUCUGCACUCUCAGCACAACCCUUCCCUUGCUGUGUGGACAAAGCACACACACACACAAGAGCAGUAAAGCUAUGGGUAGCACCUGUCCGUUUUCCAGAGGGGAAAACUUCCAGACUGCUCUGCUGGGUGAUAUUCUGCAGACAUUUAGCAGGAGCUAAAUCCAGCUGGGAUUUAGCAAGGUCUGAUGCCUCCCCCACUCUCUGGACUGUCACAGUCAAGGCAACGUGUCUUCCUGGGCUGAUCAGGGAAAGUGUCAGGGACCUCACAGCCAACACUGACAGGCCAGGGCUUCUCUCACUCUGCUGUGUUUCACUAAUUGCACCUCUCCCUAAUUAAAAAUCAGUGAUGUGGCUUUGGCAGCUGCAAGUGAGGUCCCCCAGGCGAGCCCGGGGCAGAGGUUGGGAGGUGGAGAAGGAAUGGAGCCAUCCUGGAGUCUGGUACAUCCCCUGCCAUGGUCGGGUGCUGCAGAGGAGCCAAACAUCCAGGAGAGUCCUCCUGAGGAGGCACAAAAUCAGAGCCCACCUUGCCAGAGACGUGGGGCAGCCGAGGGUGUCCUGGGCUGUGGUUGAGCAGGUGUAAAAUGCUCCGUGCCAGCUGCAAAGUCCCUUUCCAGGUGACAGUGGUGGCUCCAGUGCCACGUGGAGCUGGCAGCUGGGGCUCUGCAGCAGAGGCAGCAAACGCAGGGUGCUCUGGUGAGCUGGGCACUCUCUGCCUCUCCCAGGGGACAGGAAGGGCCAACUCACUGCCAGGCACUUAAAAUCAGACAAAAUAAAAGCUGGAUGAUCUAUAGUGCACGUUCCUCUUGGCUUGUUGGUUGCUGUUCUAUCAGCUCUUUUUCCUUCCUUAUUUCCACACAAGGAAAAGAGUUUUGUUUCAGGUGUCUUCCCACGGGAUAACAGCCUCUCCAAGCAAACUCACCCUGGGUGAAAGCAGGAGGAGCAGCCAGUCAGCAGCACCAAUGCACAAUGUCAGCAGCUCCAGGGUGAUUUCAUUAACGAGCUCCUGUGCUCUCGCUGCAUCAGUGCAGGCUCACAGGCAGCAGAGAGUGUUCCAGUCCCCUGCCACCUUCCACUAGGCCAGGCUGCUCCAAGCUCCAUCCAACCUGGCCUUUUCAUACUUGUACCUGCCCAGUUUGGAAAUCCAUGGCUGAGGGGGGUGUCUGUCUGUCGGGAUGUCAGAUAAGGACAGGACAGGUGAUGCUUUUGUUACCCAGGGAGCUCUAAGUGGGUCCUACAGCUCACCUAGGGGCUGCUACAGUGAGGUCUUGGCAGAGGGUGAGCUGCACAGCAGCCAUUUCAAGGGAUGAAACAGGGAGGGUCUAGGAGAGGCAGGACACUCUAAUCUCUGCUGGACAUGGAAAUCUUCCAGGAAAUGGUGAGCAGAAUUUGGAGAGUGGCUGGAAGCCUUCAGUGUGGUGGUCUACAAGAGAGCUGGAGAGGGACUUUGGGCCUGGAAUGACAGGACAAGAGCAAAUGGCUUCAAACUAACAAUGGGCAGGGUUAGUUGGGAUAUUGGAAAGAAAUUCUUGACUGUGAGACCCUGGCAGAGGUAGCCAGAGGAGCUGUGGCUGCCCAGGCAGUGUCCAAGGCCAGGCUGGAUAGGGCUGGUCCAGUGUAAGGUGUCCCUGCCCAUGGCAGGGGGUUGGAACGAGAUGAUUUUUAAGGUCCCUUCCAACCCAAAUCUCCCCAGGGAAACAGGGAGGAUGGUGCCCAGCUCCCCUCUCUGGCCCACAGCCAGGGAGGACUUGCAGAUGGAAAGCUCCUGGCUGGAGCUGGCUGCUGCUGAUGGGCUAAUAAUACCCCUGGGAGAAGGUCAGGUGGGCAGCAGCACGGGCAGCUCCCAUUUCAGCCUGCCACACAUCACCCUCAGCUGCCAGAGCCUCCAGAAAAUUUUGGGAUGUCUUAGAGGAGAGCUGGCAGUGCCACCCUCUUCCAUUGGUGGAUUUCCAGGGGGAUGGCAGCAGGUGGCUGCCAGUGGUUACCUGCACCAUGGCACAGAGAAUUUAACCCCCAGCACCAUCCCUUCCCUGCAUCCCCCAGGUCACUACAGCCUCCCCUGCUUCCCCAUCCUAGCAGGAGCUGGCUGCCACCGGGCAGGCCACCGUGCUGUCCCACGGCCACAAAUGUCCCAGCAGAGAGGGUUUUUCUUGCUGAAAAGCUGCUUAGCAGCUUAUGGAAACAAUAAAAGUAGUAUUAUCUUCAGUGGUGAGGCAGAUGGUUUGGAUGAUUGGUUUGACUUUUAAGCUGGAUUUGAGCUACGGAUAUUCUGAUUUUUAAGAAUUUUUGGCUGGUCAGACUCUGGCGGCGUAAUCCCCAGAUUCCUGCUCCCAUAAAUCCACUCCUCUCUGUGCUGGGGGCUCUGGGAUGGACACCUGCCCUGGGAGGGGCCUUCAGACACCUGCAGGUGAGGGGGGCACCCAGACCCCCCCACCUGGGCUGGCAGCCACCAAGAGCCACCCUUGUCCCCCCGACCUUAGGGGGACAAUCCCCUCUCUGCUCCCAUCCUGCGUGGGCAGCUCUGCAAAUCCAGGGCUGGCAGGAGCCCAGGCCUGAGCUUCUCCCCGCAACGUUGUCUUUUGCAGAAGGAUUUGUUUACUUUUUCUCCUAAUUAUCAGGAGCUGUGGACUUCCUGCCACCAUCUGAGGGCUGGUAGCAGCCCUCAGUGCUCCUUCUCCUGACAGAGCCUGUUCCUGCUGUCACCCCCGCAGCUGGUGUCAGUGUGCAGUGCUCAGAGAUGACAUCCUGCCCAGCAGGACGUGGCCAGGGGUCUUCUCCAUUCCAUCCCUCCUGCAGCAGGGACCCCCAGCCCCCCAGGAAUCCCUCCAGGGCUGAGGGAUCUGCCUCACUCCAGGACCCCCAAGCAGCCCCUGGGGUUGCCCUGUAGCCAGGGCUUUGGGAAAGAAGGGAUUUGGGAAUGAAAUCAGUGGGGUUGGGGAAGGCUCCUGUUGGGGCAGCUCCAGACAAAUAAAAUCCAUGUCUGGGGGCUCGUGGUUAACCCUUUGCUGAGGGACAUGCAGCAGUGCCUCAGGUGAUGAAUUACCUGCCCCAAACCCUGCAGCUGCCCCACCUGAGAAGAGCCAUCACAUCCAGAACAUCCUGUGUGUUAGAAUGGUUUUUAUUUAGCAGAUCUCCAGAGCAUGAAAAUAAAACUCCCAUAAAACAAG